rnacentral:misc_RNA from 1 species
CUUCUUCUUCUUCUUCUACUACUUGUUCUUCCGCUUCUUCUACGCCGCUUCCAAGAUUCUUGGCGCCGGUUCCAGAUCCGGCGACGGGAGAAGGUAAUAUCGGCUGAGGUGGCGCGUGGAUCGGAGCUGAUUUUACAGGGAAUCGAUGAGGCGCAUAGGUCUGGUGGAGGAUGUGGUGGUGGCGAUGGUUGUUAGGGUUGGUUUGGUGGUGGUUAUCGUCCCCGAGGAGAGAGAAAUCGUCGUUACAGGAAGCCAUUGAAAUGACGUUACAGUUAGGGGUUGCAGAACGACGACGUUAGGAGGACGGGAGGUACGUUGACGAGAAGGGAAAAGGGAGUGAUUUAACGGAAGGCAAGAGUCGUGAAGCGGGGUGGGAUAGGCCGUUACGGACUGUGACGGACCCGUUAAGUAAUAGAAGAUAAAGUGUGUGGCACGUGAGUGGGACCCUGGUGAGAGUUGGUGGUCCCAAAGGACGUCCUUGCUGUUUUGGUAAUGGGAUCCAUCGUUGCAUUAGUUUCUCCAUUGGCGGGUCGCGUUGGUGAGAAUUGAGCUUUUAUAUCCAUUUGAUUUCGAACGAUC